GAUGAACGCUGGCGGCGUGCCUAAUACAUGCAAGUCGAGCGAACGGAUGAGAAGCUUGCUUCUCUGAUGUUAGCGGCGGACGGGUGAGUAACACGUGGAUAACCUACCUAUAAGACUGGGAUAACUUCGGGAAACCGGAGCUAAUACCGGAUAAUAUUUUGAACCGCAUGGUUCAAAAGUGAAAGACGGUCUUGCUGUCACUUAUAGAUGGAUCCGCGCUGCAUUAGCUAGUUGGUAAGGUAACGGCUUACCAAGGCAACGAUGCAUAGCCGACCUGAGAGGGUGAUCGGCCACACUGGAACUGAGACACGGUCCAGACUCCUACGGGAGGCAGCAGUAGGGAAUCUUCCGCAAAGGGCGAAAGCCUGACGGAGCAACGCCGCGUUAGUGAUGAAGGUCUUCGGAUCGUAAAACUCUGUUAUUAGGGAAGAACAUAUGUGUAAGUAACUGUGCACAUCUUGACGGUACCUAAUCAGAAAGCCACGGCUAACUACGUG
rnacentral:rRNA from 1 species